AUUUCAAGAAAAUAAAAACACAACAAAAAAGCAAAUGGAAAUCGAUGGUGCUCUCCACUUGUUUAUUGUGCUUGUUUUUCUCUACCUUCUUUAUUUUGUUGUUUUUUUUUCGUUCUUCUGUUUGUUC
rnacentral:ribozyme from 12 species